CUCAACUUUACAACUGAGGAUGGGAAUGACGGAACCAUGUUUCCCGAAACCAUCCCACCAACACUCCUGCAUGCGUCAUACCUGACAGGGUAUGGGGUAUGAAGUACAGGUAGAUUCGGCAGAAUGGAGGCUGCAGCCACCCUCUCGGGAAGGUAUGCCAACAGAUAUGCCGCGUGGCUGAAAA
rnacentral:ncRNA from 1 species